UGAACCCCAGCUCUCUCACUUCGGUCCCACCCUUCCCAACUCCCCACGCCCAAGUCUUUCAGUGGAACCCAAGACUGUAAGAACUUGGGCCUUGUGAGAGUGAAGGAAGGAUGCUCCAACUUGCCCAGGACUCAGGCUUCAGCUUCACAAUCCCGAGGAAAGGAAUGACAUUUCCAAACUGUCACCUUUGUAGCGCUGGGUCAAAGUCUAAAGAGGACAAAAAAAUAGACAGAGACUUCUGUGGCCUCGUUGUGCCUAUUGAACAGGAGAGCUGCAUGUCACAAUCAAUGAGACCUGCACAGCUUGUGAAUCAUCACUGAGACUAGUUGUGUUUUUAAUACCUUUAAAAUGAAGCCACAGCAUCUAUUCUGGAAAUGUGGCGUAGGCUUAAAAACCUUGCUCCAAAGAGGAUAUCGUUUCAGCCAGCAUGCAGUGAAUAUCUGUGGCUACAGAAAAAAACAAACUGUCCCGAAUCCUGGAGGAGGAAAUAUGACAUUGUGAUGCCAGGCAGUUUUCUGUGACACUCAGGAAUCUCUUCAAUAGAGAUGUACGGUGACACUUAGAGCCCCAGAACACAAGGUCUGUCACUAGUAAUUUACAUAAGAUAAGGAUAAAUUAUUGACUGGGAUACAUCUUACUCAUCCCCGACAUCUGCUUGGCUGUGGGGUUGGUCAUGUAGAUAAAUAUCCUUCCCGGAAAGGAUAUUUGGCCUUCAAAAAAGUCUCUGGGCUCAGAGUCUGGUCCCUUGGGGUUACGUGGAAUGAAACCCAGCACUUUAUUGCUUUGACUGCCUACUCUUGUCCCUUCACUGCAAAGCCAUCAUGCUAUUAAAUAAGCCUAACAAAAAGUAGGUGAAGCAGAAAAGACCGAUCUCUUUUUCCUCUUGGCUCUUGUUCCCUCCUCCCCCUUUAGGCACAGAGUACCAAGACAUUGAGACUGAGAAAACCUGCCCCGAAUCACAUUCACCUUCAGAAGACUCCUUUGUGAGAAGCUGAGGGCCUGGCCCUCUUCCUCUUCCUGGAGAGAAGAGCCCACCACCACCCACAGACCUCGCGGGCCUCACUUAGCGCGCUCCUCCCUGUCCGAGAACCCGAGGGUCCCCAUGUGGAUUAUCCAGCCAGUGUGUGGUCCUUUGAGGCCCCAAGCGCAGGCCUGUGAUGAGGACCAAAGAGGUGACUUAUGGUCAGGAGUACUCCAAACAGCUCUCAGAGUAGGCAUCUUUCCUGGGUCUCUAAAGAGUCAUACUGACCUGGUGUGCAAAUUCCCUUCCACCCAUCCCUCUACCUCCUCUGGGGAUGGCUUGCCGACAUGCUUUAGAAACUCCCCUCUUGGGAAUGCUCCUCUGACUGAGGGCUCCAACAGCUUUAACGAAAUCAGCCGAGAGGGUAAAAACCAACCUGUUGCACAGAAUGGAGGGGGGGAAAAGCACAUACUCAAUAGAUUUUUGAGUGUGGUACUCUGUAUUUUUGCAGCUUUUAUUUUCCAAAUGAGCAGUUUAGAAAUAUGUGAUGUAAAGUACAUACUGUACGUUUGCUGAAAAUUAUAUUAAAAGCACUAUUUUAAUUCUU
rnacentral:sRNA from 1 species